AAACAUCAAUGACUGGAAUAUGAACAAUUGGAUCACAAAUCAAAGGUGUGAAGGUUGGAAUUUGCUGUGAACUCGCCAACGGUAAUCGGACCAAUGGUUCCGGGAGGAAAGCUGGAAAAUCCAGUGAUGGUACAUCAGUAAGACCAAGAGGUAGAGUUGGUUUCAACGAGCUGGAAGAACCAUUUGUUGGCAACAUUGAUGAAAGCGGUGGAAGCUUAAAAGAUGAGAUGGAAGAGGCAGGGAGUUCGGAAGUAGCUGAGCAUUGUAGUGUCGAUGAUCCUGGGGGACACCAACAAUAGUAAGGAGAAAAUAGAGGAGGUCCUACGGAGGAAACCUGAGAAACACCACUUGGAGUUGGUGGAGCAGCAAGUUUUCCAAGUGAUUCAAGGAAGU
rnacentral:lncRNA from 1 species